CACUCUAGAGAGACUGCCAGGGAUAACCUGGAGGAAGGUGGGGAUGACGUCAAAUCAUCAUGCCCCUUAUGCUUAGGGCUACACACGUGCUACAAUGGGUAGUACAGAGGGUUGCCAAGCCGUAAGGCGGAGCUAAUCCCUUAAAGCUACUCUCAGUUCGGAUUGUAGGCUGAAACUCGCCUACAUGAAGCUGGAGUUACUAGUAAUCGCAGAUCAGAAUGCUGCGGUGAAUGCGUUCCCGGGUCUUGUACACACCGCCCGUCACACCACGGGAGGUGGAG
rnacentral:rRNA from 1 species